UUAGAUUAGAGGAGGCCUGCUGUAAACAACACACAGGAAAGGCAUUUUGCUUCUUUUUAGACUGUCUUUUGUAUCAUGUUUUAUACAAGGGAUGAAAGCAUAAUACAACAUCUGUGAAAUGUUAAUGAGGGUUAUUCACUCUUUACCUAGGUUGGGGGUUUGCAGAAAGGGCGGGUCUGGGAAGGAGGAGGGUGUGGAAGAUUGGAUUCCAUAUGCAAAUGCAGGUAUCAGGGAGUCUGGAAGGCUCUGGAACAAGAGCUAGGCUGGAGGCAUGUCCUGUUGUUAUGGAGGGGAAAGGAGAGCAGCAGAUUUGAGGAGCUGGGAUGGGUGUUCUCUGUCUUGCCCUGAAACAAUCUGGUCACCCGGCCUCCACCAACCAUGUGAAAAACAGGCAGAAAUGAGAAGAAUGCAGCCUGGUGCCCCGGGAACUUGGUCCUCUCUGGGUUGUGAGUUACCAGCACUGUAGCCCAAAUCCAUGAGUACUGGGGUCUGGGGGUACAGGAGACGGGCCUUCACUCCAGAGGCAUAGAUGAGAGCACAGCUGUCCUUCCCUAACUCAGGCAGCGCUCGGGGGUAUCAGGAGGCACACUGCCAAUCACCCCAUGAGGGCACUCAGAACUAGUUCCUCCUACCUCCUCUCCCCUGUGAGAAAGCACUAAGAAAAAUAGGCUGCGGUAGCUGGGCCCAGAUCUCAGGUUCCCAGGCCCUUUCUUCAUGGUUGAUGUACCUUUCCUCCCCUCCAUUUACCUUAGCUACCACUUUGUGAUCAGUGAGGCAAUCAGGCAAGGCUUCUUUGAGGAGGUGGUGGUUACGUUGGGCUUUGAAGGGUGGGAAGGAUUUCCAUAGGCAGUUGUUCAGUUGCCAAGUUGUGUUCCGACUCUUCAUGACCCCAUGGACUGCAGCACACUAGGUAUCCCUGUCCCUCACCGUCUCCUGGAAUGUGCCCAAGU
ensembl:lncRNA